rnacentral:rRNA from 1 species
ACCAAGGCAUCGACGGGUAGCUGGUCUGAGAGGACGAUCAGCCACACUGGGACUGAGACACGGCCCAGACUCCUACGGGAGGCAGCAGUGGGGAAUCUUGCGCAAUGGGCGAAAGCCUGACGCAGCAACGCCGCGUGGGGGAUGAAGGCUCUCGGGUUGUAAACCCCUUUCAGCAGGGACGAAUCAUACGGUACCUGCAGAAGAAGCCCCGGCUAACUACGUGCCAGCAGCCGCGGUAACACGUAGGGGGCAAGCGUUGUCCGGAUUUAUUGGGCGUAAAGAGCUCGUAGGCGGCUGAGUAAGUCGGGUGUUAAAUCCCCAGGCUCAACCUGGGACACCACCCGAUACUGCUCUGGCUAGAGUCCGGUAGGGGAGCGUGGAAUUCCUGGUGUAGCGGUGAAAUGCGCAGAUAUCAGGGGGAACACCAGCGGCGAAGGCGGCGCUCUGGGCCGGAACUGACGCUGAGGAGCGAAAGCGUGGGUAGCAAACAGGAUUAGAUACCCUGGUAGUCCACGCCGUAAACGUUGGGCACUAGGUGUGGGGUCUAUUCAACGGACUCCGUGCCGUCGCUAACGCAUUAAGUGCCCCGCCUGGGGAGUACGGCCGCAAGGCUAAAACUCAAAGGAAUUGACGGGGGCCCGCACAAGCAGCGGAGCAUGUUGCUUAAUUCGAGGCAACGCGAAGAACCUUACCUGGGUUUGACAUGUAGAGAAAAGCCGUAGAGAUACGGUGUCCUUCGGGGUUCUACACAGGUGGUGCAUGGUUGUCGUCAGCUCGUGUCGUGAGAUGUUGGGUUAAGUCCCGCAACGAGCGCAACCCUUGUCCUAUGUUGCCAGCACGUAAUGGUGGGGACUCGUAGGAGACUGCCGGGGUCAACUCGGAGGAAGGUGGGGAUGACGUCAAAUCAUCAUGCCCCUUAUAUCCAGGGCUGCAAACAUGCUACAAUGGCCGGUACAAAGGGCAGCGAAACCGCGAGGUGGAGCGAAUCCCAUAAAGCCGGUCUCAGUUCGGAUUGGAGUCUGCAACUCGACUCCAUGAAGCUGGAGUUGCUAGUAAUCCCGGAUCAACGCCGGGGUGAAUACGUUCCCGGGCCUUGUACACACCGCCCGUCACACCAUGAAAGUUGGAAACGCCCGAAGCCAGUGGCCCAACCCUUUUGGGAGGGAGCUGUCGAAGGUGGAAUCAGCGAUCAGGGUGAAGUCGAAACAAGGUAGCCGUACCGGGAGGUGCGGCUG